UUUGCUUGUCAGCUUUUUGGCUAAGAUCAAAUGUACUAUCUGUUCUUAUCAGUUUGAUUGUCUGAUACAUCCUCUAUCUGAGGACAGUAUAUUAAAAAAACAAAAAAUGACCCUGUCUCAAAAUAAAAAGGUGUGGGAAUGUAGCUCAAUAUGAAGGCCUUGCAUUCCAUCCCCA
rnacentral:snRNA from 1 species